CAAGUGUUUCGAGCAGUGAGAUGGACUUUAGCAGACCAAUGUAAAACACUUUAUCUGUGGUAUGCCUGGAAUUGGCUCACACACUUGCAAGUUGGAUCAUGUUAUCACACUUGGGUUACUGAAAGUGGAUAAAAGCAGAGAGAGUGAAAACAUUCUGCAAAACAUCACAUAACACAGAGUGAAAGAGAAUACUUAAUCGAUUAUGCAAAGUUACCAUGAAACUAUUGGUAAUACUACGGCUGAUACAACCCAGGAUGUCUAGGAUGACCCAUUGGGAUCCCAAGUUCUUUUCCACAAAGUCCCUGUUUGGCCAGACACCUUUCUGUUCUACCAUAUGGAUUAUUCCACUCCAAGAUCGUUUUCCUGCUCUGAAUAUCUUGGGAUUCCCUGUCAGAUCAUUUCCUCUGUUUGUCAGGGUCCAUAUAAAUAGGAACACUAUUUACUAGUAUGUUUAUUGCCCAGUCUUGUCAUCAUAUGCACACUUCAUGAGAAUACAUCCUGUCUUAACACCCUUAUCUUUAACAAAGAUAAAUAGUAAUGUCACCACUAGUGAUCAAGAAUAGAAUUGGCAAUGAGCAGACAGCCUGACUUCAUAGCACUGAUGUGCCAUGUGCUACUAAUGUACAACUCAAAACUAGUUUGGCUUUAAGAAUGGUUUUAGGGAUGUUUGGGUAUCAUUUCAUAUAUUUCAUAAUGCUUGAGUAUCAUUUACAGACAUACUUAACUUCAGUAAGAACCUGUAUAAUUAUUUAUACAUUUCUCAUUAUGAGAAAUAAGUAUAUAUUAGAAAUUUCCACAAAUAUUAGAGCUAUGCAGAAUUGUACAGAUAUUCACAUCUAUCCAUGAGUAGCAAGAUUCAAGGGAAGAGGGCCAAAAGAUGUGUUCAAUUCUUCAUGAACAAGUACCAUUGUGGUCUUAAUUGCCAUUUAGAUGAAUUAAGUCAUGGCAGGUUCCUCUUGUUCCACUGUGAUGUUGCUCAGAAUCUUGAUGGCAACAUGGGCAUUCUGCCAGCAGUGAUACCUUAGUUGUUUAUAACUGUAUUAAGAUCAUAUAUAUGCUAUUUGCACAGCAAGGGCUGCAGCAGGAAAUAAAAAUAUUCCCUGCUGUCUGUGUGCAUUUGUAAGAUCUAGAAAAUGUUGUCAUCUGAAUACCUCGGCACUGCAUUUAUAACACAAACUGUUGUAGGAGCCAUUAGAGAAAUCCCUCAAGGACAACAUGAUAUACACAUCACCAUGGCUUUUCUUUUUCUGAAUCUUUCUUGUCAUUACUCCUGAGAAAGUGAU